rnacentral:rRNA from 1 species
AUUGAACGCUGGCGACAGGCCUAACACAUGCAAGUCGAGCGCGAAAGUCUUCGGAUGAGUAAAGCGGCGAACGGGUGAGUAAUGCAUGGGAAUCUGCCUGGUAGUGGGGGACAACGUCUCGAAAGGGACGCUAAUACCGCAUACGCCCUACGGGGGAAAGGGGGGGAUCUUCGGACCUCUCGCUAUCAGAUGAGCCCAUGUCAGAUUAGCUAGUUGGUGAGGUAAAGGCUCACCAAGGCGACGAUCUGUAACUGGUCUGAGAGGAUGAUCAGUCACACUGGAACUGAGACACGGUCCAGACUCCUACGGGAGGCAGCAGUGGGGAAUAUUGGACAAUGGGGGCAACCCUGAUCCAGCCAUGCCGCGUGUGUGAAGAAGGCCCUAGGGUUGUAAAGCACUUUCAUGGGGAGAAGGUUAUUCACCUAAUACGUGAG